rnacentral:tRNA from 5 species
GCCGCGGUGGCGGAAUGGUAGACGCGCUGUCUUCAGAGGACAGUCCUAAUUUUUAGGGUGAGAGUUCAAAUCUCUCCCGCGGCA